CCGCGCGGACGGAGCCGAGGGGGCGGGGAGGGGGGGCUCCCUCCCCGGGAGCGUUUCUAGAGCUCGGAGGCAGCUCGCAGGGGUUUGAGAGUCCACGUGUUUAAGUCUAACAGAAGAAAACAAAAAUCACUGGAUAUGAAGUUAUGAGACAGACCCAAAUCUACAUCUACAUCCUCAGGGCACCACUUUCAGAUAAAAACAUAGACCUGAAUGGCAUCAUCCAGUAUCCAAGGAAACCAUGCACUGUGGUGUAUACUGAGCAGGACCGAGACAAGGGUGUUUUUCUUAAGAGCCACUGAUUUAGUCAAUUAUCAAAAAUCAUAUUAUAAU